rnacentral:misc_RNA from 1 species
UACAGAGGCCCCGAGCGUUACCCGGAAUUACUGGGCGUAAAGCGUAUGUAGGUGGUCAUAUUAGUCGCCUGUUAAAAACCGGAGCUCAACUCCGGAUGUGCGGGCGAAACGGUAUGACUGGAGGGUGUGAGAGGUGAAUGGAACUCAUGGUGUAGGGGUGAAAUCCGUUGAUAUCAUGGGGAACACCGAAAGCGAAGGCAAUUCACUGGCGCAUUCCUGACACUCAAAUACGAAAGCGUGGGUAGCGAACGGG